rnacentral:rRNA from 1 species
GUGGUUUAAUCCGAUGAUACGCGAGGAACCUUACCUGGGCUUAAAUGGGGAGUGACAGCUGUCGAAAGAUGGUUUCUUCGGACACUCUUCAAGGUGCUGCAUGGUUGUCGUCAGCUCGUGCCGUGAGGUGUCGGGUUAAGUCCCAUAACGAGCGCAACCCUUACCGUUAGUUACCAUCAGGUUAAGCUGGGGACUCUAGCGGGACUGCCACCGUAAGGUGAGAGGAAGUGGGGAUGACGUCAAAUCAGCACGGCCCUUAUGUCCAGGGCUACACACGUGUUACAAUGGCCAGUACAAAGGGCAGCUACCGGGUGACCGGAUGCUAAUCUCUAAAGCUGGUCUCAGUUCGGAUCGAAGUCUGCAACCCGACUUCGUGAAGCUGGAUUCGCUAGUAAUCGCGCAUCAGCCAUGGCGCGGUGAAUACGUUCCCGGGCCUU